rnacentral:rRNA from 1 species
UGUAUAAUGGGUCAGCGACUUAUAUUCUGUAGCAAGGUUAACCGAAUAGGGGAGCCGAAGGGAAACCGAGUCUUAACUGGGCGUUAAGUUGCAGGGUAUAGACCCGAAACCCGGUGAUCUAGCCAUGGGCAGGUUGAAGGUUGGGUAACACUAACUGGAGGACCGAACCGACUAAUGUUGAAAAAUUAGCGGAUGACUUGUGGCUGGGGGUGAAAGGCCAAUCAAACCGGGAGAUAGCUGGUUCUCCCCGAAAGCUAUUUAGGUAGCGCCUCGUGAAUUCAUCUCCGGGGGUAGAGCACUGUUUCGGCAAGGGGGUCAUCCCGACUUACCAACCCGAUGCAAACUGCGAAUACCGGAGAAUGUUAUCACGGGAGACACACGGCGGGUGCUAACGUCCGUCGUGAAGAGGGAAACAACCCAGACCGCCAGCUAAGGUCCCAAAGUCAUGGUUAAGUGGGAAACGAUGUGGGAAGGCCCAGACAGCCAGGAUGUUGGCUUAGAAGCAGCCAUCAUUUAAAG